UACGUAGGGUGCAAGCGUUAAUCGGAAUUACUGGGCGUAAAGCGUGCGUAGGCGGCUAUGUAAGACAGAUGUGAAAUCCCUGGGCUUAACCUAGGAACUGCAUUUGUGACUGCAUUGCUAGAGUGUGGUAGAGGGAGAUGGAAUUCCGCAUGUAGCAGUGAAAUGCGUAGAUAUCUGGAGGAACACCGGUGGCGAAGGCGGCAUCCUGGACCAACACUGACGCUGAGGAGCGAAAGCCAGGGGAGCAAACGGG
rnacentral:rRNA from 1 species